rnacentral:rRNA from 1 species
GAUUAUGGCUCAGGAUGAACGCUGGCGGCGUGCUUAACACAUGCAAGUCGAACGGAGUUUUAAACGGAAGUCCUCGGAUGGAAGUUUAGAAACUUAGUGGCGGACGGGUGAGUAACGCGUGGGUAACCUGCCUCAUACAGGGGGAUAACAGUCGGAAACGAUUGCUAAAACCGCAUAACAUAGCGAAACCGCAUGAUUUUUGCUAUCAAAUAUUUAUAGGUAUGAGAUGGGCCCGCGUCUGAUUAGCUAGUUGGUGGGGUAAUGGCCUACCAAGGCGACGAUCAGUAGCCGGCUUGAGAGAGUGACCGGCCACAUUGGGACUGAGACACGGCCCAAACUCCUACGGGAGGCAGCAGUGGGGAAUAUUGGACAAUGGGGGAAACCCUGAUCCAGCGAACCGCCGCGUGAGUGAAGAAGUAUUUCGGUAUGUAAAGCUCUAUCAGCAGGGAAGAUAAUGACAGUACCUGACUAAGAAGCCCCGGCUAACUACGUGCCAGCCGCUGC